rnacentral:snRNA from 1 species
GGAUGUGAGGGCAAUCUGGCUGCGACAUCUGUCACCCCAUUGAUCGCCAGGGUUGAUUCGGCUGAUCUGGCUGGCUAGGCGGGUGUCCCCUUCCUCCCUCACCGCUCCAUGUGCGUCCCUUCCGAAGCUGCGCGCUCGGUCGAAGAGGACGACCUUCCGCGAUAGAGGACGACCUUCCGCGAUAGAGGAGGACCGAUCUUCGGUCAAGGGUAUAGGAGCAGCUGUGCUCCCCUGCUAGAACCUCCGAACAAGCUCUCAAGAAGUGAUAUGAACGAAUGCUUGCUUGUUUCUUGCAGGGCUACUUAAAAAAAUGUAUUUU